rnacentral:rRNA from 1 species
UGGGGAAUUUUGGACAAUGGGGGAAACCCUGAUCCAGCCAUCCCGCGUGUGCGAUGAAGGCCUUCGGGUUGUAAAGCACUUUUGGCAGGAAAGAAACGUCAUGGGUUAAUACCCCGUGAAACUGACGGUACCUGCAGAAUAAGCACCGGCUAACUACGUGCCAGCAGCCGCGGUAAUACGUAGGGUGCAAGCGUUAAUCGGAAUUACUGGGCGUAAAGCGUGCGCAGGCGGUUCGGAAAGAAAGAUGUGAAAUCCCAGAGCUCAACUUUGGAACUGCAUUUUUAACUACCGGGCUAGAGUGUGUCAGAGGGAGGUUGAAUUCCGCGUGUAGCAGUGAAAUGCGUCGAUAUGCGGAGGAACACCGAUGGCGAAGGCAGCCUCCUGGGAUAAAACUGACGCUCAUGCACGAAAGCGUGGGGAGCAAACAGG